rnacentral:ncRNA from 13 species
UAACUGCCAUAACUCCGAGCUCUACGCGCUAAGUCGAACCAAAGAUAAGCUUCUAGAGCCAGUGACAAUUUGUCACAAGGGCAUAAUUGGAAAUGAUUGUGCCUCCCGUGUUUGGAAAGGUGUUCCGUGGCGCAACAA